UGUAUCUUGGUAACAGGCACGAAGGAAGCGUAUAUAAGACUAGAUCUCGCACUGCAAGAAAAUGGUUACGCAACUGCGGCAAUAAUCGGAAAAAUGUUGAUCGCAGCUGUGUAAACGAGUUAUGAACGAGAAUCACAAAAACUAAUUCGAUAUCUGAACGAAAUCCGAAAUGUUUGUCACGAGAUAGGUGUCAUGAUCUCGAACAAUGAUAAACUGACGAAAUGUGAAUGAUUCUAAUUUCGAGCGCGAUUGUGACGCCAUCUAUGAUGUCGAGAUUGUGAGCUAUUUUUUCCUACAUGUCGAUGCCAAUGGCUUUAUUCAUAGUGAUAUGACUAAAUUUUCCCUAUCUGCCAAUGCCAAUGAUUUAUUGAAGUGUUAGGACUACUGUUUUUCAUCAAUGCUAAUGCCUAUAAUUCUCUCUAUCUUCGUCAUAUGUAAACAGUGCCACCAACUUUUCGAACGAUCUGCUGAUUCCCUGGUACGUAUGCGUGAAACAUGAUGAGCAAGGAGGUAUCCGACAAAGCAGUUGCAGAGAGAGAAGGCAAACAUAGCCAUCUUAAUAAUUCUCCAUGUCGAAGAAGAAAUUAAUUACCUAAUUAAUAACACACACACCAGCUGUUAACAAUUAAUAUCCUACUAAAUAUUCCUAAUAAUUAAUACCCCACAAAAUAUCUAGAAUAAUUA